ACCCUUCGGGUAUCCCUAGACGAUUGUGUUGAUUCAGUUCCUCAGCGGAAUUUUUGAUUCCCCAGUGGAGCUUCUCUCCCUUUUAUUAGCUGAGUUGGUUGAUUCAGGUACCCUGCGACUUGUCUCCCUCGACAGAGUUUCUGCCUUCCCCAGUGGAGUUUGGUUUCCUUCAGCAGAAGUGAUUGAUCUCCCUAGUAGAUCGCAUUGGUUUCCCCUCCAAUCGCAAGUCGACUUGCUCCCCAAUCAGAGUUU
rnacentral:lncRNA from 1 species